AUUGAACGCUGGCGGCAUGCUUUACACAUGCCAGUCGAACGGCAGCACGGGGGCAGCCCUGGUGGCGAGUGGCGAACGGGUGAGUAAUACAUCGGAACGUGCCCGGUCGUGGGGGAUAACGUAGCGAAAGUUACGCUAAUACCGCAUACGAUCUGAGGAUGAAAGCGGGGGACCUUCGGGCCUCGCGCGAUCGGAGCGGCCGAUGUCAGAUUAGGUAGUUGGUGGGGUAAAGGCCUACCAAGCCGACGAUCUGUAGCUGGUCUGAGAGGACGACCAGCCACACUGGGACUGAGACACGGCCCAGACUCCUACGGGAGGCAGCAGUGGGGAAUUUUGGACAAUGGGCGCAAGCCUGAUCCAGCCAUUCCGCGUGCAGGACGAAGGCCUUCGGGUUGUAAACUGCUUUUGUACGGAACGAAAAGGCUCUGGCUAAUACCUGGGGCUCAUGACGGUACCGUAAGAAUAAGCACCGGCGAACUACGU
rnacentral:rRNA from 1 species